GAUGAACGCUGGCGGCGUGCCUAAUACACGCAAGUCGAGCGAAUGGAUUAAGAGCUUGCUCUUAUGAAGUUAGCGGCGGACGGGUGAGUAACACGUGGGUAACCUGCCCAUAAGACUGGGAUAACUCCGGGAAACCGGGGCUAAUACCGGAUAACAUUUUGAACCGCAUGGUUCGAAAUUGAAAGGCGGCUUCGGCUGUCACUUAUGGAUGGACCCGCGUCGCAUUAGCUAGUUGGUGAGGUAACGGCUCACCAAGGCAACGAUGCGUAGCCGACCUGGGAGGGUGAGCGGCCACACCGGGACUGAGACACGGCCCAGACUCCUACGGGAGGCAGCAGUAGGGAAUCUUCCGCAAUGGACGAAAGUCUGACGGAGCAACGCCGCGUGAGUGAUGAAGGCUUUCGGGUCGUAAAACUCUGUUGUUAGGGAAGAACAAGUGCUAGUUGAAUAAGCUGGCACCUUGACGGUACCUAACCAGAAAGCCACGGCUAACUACGUGCCAGCAGCCGCAGUAA
rnacentral:rRNA from 1 species